rnacentral:rRNA from 1 species
AACGUAGGGGACAAGCGUUAUCCGGAUUUACUGGGCGUAAAGUGCGUUGAGGCGGUUUCGUAAGUUGGACGUGAAAGCCCCGGGCUCAACUCGGGGAGGUCGUUCAAUACUGCGAGACUUGAGGACAGCAGAGGGAGGUGGAAUUCCCGGUGUAGCGGUGAAAUGCGUAGAGAUCGGGAGGAACACCAGUGGCGAAGGCGGCCUCCUGGGCUGUUCCUGACGCUGAAGGCGAAAGCUAGGGUAGCAAACGGGAUUAGAUACCCCGGUA